UGUUGGCGGGCCUGACUCAUUGCUCAACCUGUGUUAUUGAUACGUUAUUAGGUGAGCAAAGUUUCAGGUGUGCCAACGU
rfam:Acyrthosiphon pisum strain LSR1 Contig38464, whole genome shotgun sequence.